ACUUGCUCAUUUCACAGCUGCUAUAGGACUGAGAUAUCAAGCUGACUUUCAAAGAGACUGUGAUACUUGGUGUGAAAAGCAGGAAAUAUUUAUUUUUCCGUGUCUGUAAUUUUACAGGUCAGAAGCUGCAGCCUCAGCAGGCACCGAACUGCUCAAGAUGUUGAAAAAACUCCUGCAAUAUGCUCGUAGUGGAAAAAUCGGCACCACUGGCACAGGCAUUGGGAUUAUCUUUGCAUUUUUCUAUCUACGGGAAAAGAUGUGCGCUUGCUCAGGCCACACUUUUGAUUGCAAUGAAAUGGUGGUCGUGCCUGUUUUUUUAGUAUUUUUCCUGGUGCUCCUGAUAGACCAGACAUUUCGGAGCACAGCGGAGCAUCCAUCCACACUUUUAUGCAUUGUACUCAAGCGUGUUAUCAGAGCGUUUCUAAUCAGUCUGCUGUGGAUUGUAGCUGUGUUGCUUUUCACAGACUGGUAUAGUUGCUGUACCACUGAUGAAAAAAAGAGGAAGUUGUUCUGCGAACCUUGGACCAACACAGCUAAUGAAACAGCUCAAAUAACUGAGCUGCAAAUGAAGUCAAAGCUUGCUGCUUACUCUCUGCUCCUCAGCAUGACUCUUGCAGCUUUCUUCAUGACUUAGAGUGGGUGGAGAAAAUGGUUUGAAGAAAAAUACAGUUGGUGCAACAAGAAAACGUUUUACUACAAACUGAUUUUGGAAGAAGAGAAAAAAGUUCUGGAGGAGCUUUUGAGGAAAGAAGCAAAUGAAACUCUGACUAAAGAAAUCAUGAGCAACAUAAAAAGGAAAGACUGGGACGGCUGUUUAAAUGUUGCUCAACAAAUGAUCAAUAAAGCAAAACAUCAAAAACCAGAAGCAACCAACCAGCAGAUCAACUGGAUCAGUGAGGGGAGCUCCAACAGAGGGGGACAGCAUCAUCAAGCAGCAGCACAUCAGCAGGCACAAAAGUAUGAACUCCAAGCAUCGUCACAAGAGAUCAGAGACACCGAACCGUUAUUUGAUGAAUACUUCUGAAAGAAGAUGAAGAGGUGCAGCUAGAAAAUCAAUACAAUAGACCACUGACAAAUCAUGCCCAUCCAGCAGUCUGUUUUCUGAUGCUUACCUCGGUUCAGGUGUUGGGUGCAGCAGUCUGAUCAGAGACAGCCCGACCUCGUUUUCCUUUGCAACUUCCUGCACCUCCCCGAGCUUUUCCGGGUUCCCACUGAGACGGUUACAAGUCUGCCACGACACCUAGUCUCUCUUUCUGCAAUUUUUGUCAGACUAUGUCAAGUGUCCAUUCUGUGCUCAUGUUGUAAAUCUAAAGAAAUGUUUCCAUGUUUGUAUUAUGCUUUAUUUUUUUUAUGUAGUCUAUUGACAAUUCAGCUUUUACAUUAAUACACUUGCAAAUGGAGUGGUGUAAGUAAAUAAUAUUGAUCAAAAUAAAGUGCUCUAUAAAAAAACAA